ACUCAUUUGAGGACGUAAUUCAUAGGUACAAAUUGUAACACCAUGAUGAUGCGAAGGUGUCCAUUCACCUUUUAAUCCGAUAUAAUAAAUUUUUAUUUUAUCUGUUCUUUCAGUACCAGUAAAGUACAAACUUAAAUGAUGUACAGAUGAGAAUUUAACCACCCUACAGUAAAAAUUGUAUUAAUUUUUAUAUUAUUAUAAUUCUUUAUGUAAUGCUUAGUAACAUAAUAAAACAUACAUACUUAAGAGAAUAUUCAUGUACUCCCAUUGUGUCUACACAUAAUUCAAAUUCUUGUUCAGGUUAAACUUUGUUUCUAGACAUUCAAACUCAGGGGUAUUUACAAUUUUACUUUAUCUGGAUACAAAUCAUCUUCUCCUCCAAUAAUAACAAGGCCUUUUAAUUUUAUAUUUCCUGUAAACCUGAAAAAGAUGACAAUAUGUAUGUAUCCUUACAAAUAGUACGUUCAAAUAGCAAACAUACGGAAUGUUAAAUAGAAGUUCAUUAUCCAUAUCACUUUCAACAUACUGAAAAAGAAAAGUAAAUUGUAAUGUAAAAUUAUAAUUAUAUUUUGAAAGAUAUUUUUAUUAAAUGUUUAAAUAUAUAAACAAAUAAUUACUUUAUUUCUGUCCAGUCUAUUUUCCCAUGGUUUAAAUACAGUAGCUCCAGUAGCUUCUUCAAAUUCAUUUAAACAUUCUAUAUUUUCUACAUCAAUUUUUUGAUAUAAAUUAUAUUGUACACCUAAUUCUGCAUCAUUGUGUGUAACACCACAAUUACAUUGGUGAGGCAUUGUAAAACAAUCUGCAAACAUUUGUAUUAACAUUUAAUAUGAACUACAUAAAUAAUUAAAGUAAACAAAAUUGUUAUCCAGUAAACAAAAUU
rnacentral:misc_RNA from 1 species